rnacentral:rRNA from 1 species
UACGUAGGGUGCGAGCGUUAAUCGGAAUUACUGGGCGUAAAGCGUGCGCAGGCGGUUCGUUGUGUCGGCGGUGAAAGCCCCGGGCUCAACCUAGGAAUGGCCGUUGAAACUGGCGAACUGGAGUGCGGCAGAGGGGGGUGGAAUUCCGCGUGUAGCAGUGAAAUGCGUAGAGAUGUGGAGGAACACCGAUGGCGAAGGCAGCCUCCUGGGCCAGCACUGACGCUCAUGCACGAAAGCGUGGGGAGCAAACAGG